UAGCUACAUAUGUUCCAUAACAGACGUCCACUUUUUGAUGAAAAGGUGGACACUACAUCACCAAUACAAGUUUAAUGGCUACAUACGGCACUCAGUUUACACUUACAUUACAUAUGCAUUUUAACACAUCAACUAUAACACCUUUAUUUAAGUCUGUUGUGGACCAUAGAAUAUGGUAAAUUACAACAAGCAAAAUAAAGUUAUAUAUGCUUUUAUAAAAUAACAUGCUAUUUU
rfam:Escherichia coli MS 84-1 E_coli84-1-1.0_Cont233.2, whole genome shotgun sequence.